CAUAUCAAUAAGCGGAGGAAAAGAAACCAACAGGUAUUCCCUCAGUAACGGCGAGUGAAGUGGGAACAGCUCAAGCCGUCAAUCUCCGGCCUCCGGUCGGCGAAUUGUAGUCUGGAGAGGCGCUAUCCGCGCGACGUCCGGCGGUCCAAGUUGCUUGGAACGGUACAUCGCAGAGGGUGAGAAUCCCGUCCUAGGCCGCCGGAUGCGUGCCGCGAGGCGCUUUCGAAGAGUCGGGUUGUUUGGGAAUGCAGCCCAAAGCGGGUGGUAAACUCCACCUAAGGCUAAAUACGGGCACGAGACCGAUAGCGAACAAGUACCGUGAGGGAAAGAUGAAAAGCACUUUGAAAAGAGAGUUAAAGAGUACGUGAAACCGUUGGGAGGGAAGCGAAUGCGGCCAGCAGCGAUCCCUCUGCGGAUUCAGCCGGUCGCUCGGCGAGAGGGGCGACGUCGGAUUCGAAGGAACCGCGUCGUCGUUUGUCGUCGGGCUUCCGCGUCGUAUUUCCGCAGGGAUCGAGCCAGCGCCGGCGGGAGGAGGCGUCGCAACGGCAUCGUGAGGUGGUCGUGCUUCUCGGGGUGCGACGUUAUAGACGUUGUCGUGGGCGCCUCGUCCCGCCGAGGAGACGGUAUGACGGCGGCGGCGCACGCCUUUUGGGCUAGACGGUUCGCGGCCGCGGCGUUGCCACCGCGCGGACUGCCCAGCAGUGCGCGUGGGCGGCGGUCGUCGCGUUCGGGUUCGCGGUCGUAGGUGCGUCGAGGGCGCUGGCGUUGAAAUGGCCCCAUCCGACCCGUCUUGAAACACGGACCAAGGAGUCUAGCAUGCGUGCGAGUCCGUGGGUGUGGAAACCCCGCGGCGCAAUGAAAGUGAUCGUUGGGGUGAGAGCCGCUGUCGUCGUGCGGCGGCGGCGCAUCAUCGGCCGACCUCGUCUGCUCCCAGAGAGGUUUGAGUAGGAGCGCGCGUGCUGGGACCCGAAAGAUGGUGAACUAUGCCCGAAUAGGGCGAAGCCAGAGGAAACUCUGGUGGAGGCCCGCAGCGGUUCUGACGUGCAAAUCGAUCGU
rnacentral:rRNA from 1 species